CCUACGGGUGGCUGCAGUGGGGAAUAUUGCACAAUGGGGGGAACCCUGAUGCAGCGACGCCGCGUGAGUGAAGAAGUAUUUCUGUAUUUAAAGCUCUAUCAGCAGGGGAGAAAAUGCCGGUACCUGUCUAAGAAGCCCCGUCUAACUACGUGCCAGCAGCCGCGGUACUACGUAGGGAGCAAGCGUUAUCCGGAUUUACUGGGGUUAAAGGGAGCGUAGACGGCAGAACAAGUCGGAAGUGAAAGCCCGGGGCCCAACGGAGGGACUGCUUUGGAAACUGCCCGGCUAGAGUGCUGGAGAGGUAAGCGGAAUGCAUGGUGUAGCGGUGAAAUGCGUAGAUAUCAGGCGGAACACCAGUGGCGAAGGCGGCUUACUGGACAGUAACUGACGUUGAGGCUCGAAAGCGUGGGGAGCAAACAGGAUUAGAUACCCUAGUAGUC
rnacentral:rRNA from 1 species